rnacentral:rRNA from 1 species
GACGAACGCUGGCGGCGUGCCUAAUACAUGCAAGUAGAACGCACAGUUUACACCGUAGCUUGCUACCCCAUACACUGUGAGUUGCGAACGGGUGAGUAACGCGUAGGUAACCUGCCUGGUAGCGGGGGAUAACUAUUGGAAACGCUAGCUAAUACCGCAUAAUAUUGAUUAUUGCAUGAUAAUUGCUUGAAAGAUGCUAUUGCAUCACUACCAGCUGGACCUGCGUUGUAUUAGCUAGUAGGUGAGGUAACGGCUCACCUAGGCGACGAUACAUAGCCGACCUGGGAGGGUGAUCGGCCACACUGGGACUGAGACACGGCCCAGACUCCUACGGGAGGCAGCAGUAGGGAAUCUUCGGCAAUGGACGAAAGUCUGACCGAGCAACGCCGCGUGAGUGAAGAAGGUUUUCGGAUCGUAAAGCUCUGUUGUAAGAGAAGAACGGGUGUGAGAGUGGAAAGUUCACACUGUGACGGUAUCUUACCAGAAAGGGACGGCUAACUACGUG